rnacentral:rRNA from 1 species
GCGGUAGCAGAGAAGCUUGCUUUUCUUGAGAGCGGCGGAGGGGUGAGUAAGGCCUAGGAAUCUGCCUGGUAGUGGGGGAUGACGUUCGGAAACGGACGCUAAUACCGCAUACGUCCUACGGGAGAAAGCAGGGGACCUUCGGGCCUUGCGCUAUCGCAUGAGCCUAGGUCGAGAUUAGCUAGUUGGUGAGGUAAGGGCUCACCCAGGCGACGAUCCGUAACUGGUCUGAGAGGAUGAUCAGUCACACUGGAACUGAGACACGGUCCAGACUCCUACUGGAGGCAGCAGUGGGGAAUAUUGAACAAUGGGCGAAAGCCUGAUCCAGCCAUGCCGCGUGUGUGAAGAAGGUCUUCGGAUUGUAAAUCACUUUAAGUUGGGAGGAAGGGUUGUAGAUUAAUACUCUGCAAUUUUGACGUUACCGACAGAAUAAGCACCGGCUAACUCUGUGCCAGCAGCCGCGGUAAUACNGAGGGUGCAAGCGUUAAUCGGAAUUACUGGGCGUAAAGCGCGCGUAGGUGGUUUGUUAAGUUGGAUGUGAAAUCCCCGGGCUCAACCUGGGAACUGCAUUCAAAACUGACUGACUAGAGUAUGGUAGAGGGUGGUGGAAUUUCCUGUGUAGCGGUGAAAUGCGUAGAUAUAGGAAGGAACACCAGUGGCGAAGGCNACCACCUGGACUAAUACUGACACUGAGGUGCGAAAGCGUGGGGAGCAAACACGGAUUAGAUACCCUGGUAGUCCACGCCGUAAACGAUGUCAACUAGCCGUUGGAAGCCUUGAGCUUUUAGUGGCGCAGCUAACGCAUUAAGUUGACCGCCUGGGGNAGUACGGCCGCCAGGUUAAAACUCAAAUGAAUUGACGGGGGCCCGCACCAGCGGUGGAGCAUGUGGUUUAAUUCUGAAGCAACGCGAAGAACCUUACCAGNCCUUGACNUCCAAUGAACUUUCUAGAGAUAGAUUGGUGCCUUUGGGAACAUUGAGACCGGUGCUGCAUGGCUGUUGUCAGCUUGUGUCGUGAGAUGUUGGGUUAAGUCCCGUAACGAGGGCAACCCUUGUCCUUAGUUACCAGCACGUUAUGGUGGGCACUCUAAGGAGACUGCCGGUGACAAACCGGAGGAAGGUGGGGAUGACGUCAAGUCAUCAUGGCCCUUACGGCCUGGGCUACACACGUGCUACAAUGGUCGGUACAGAGGGAAGCCAAGCCGCGAGGUCAAGCUAAUCCCAUAAAACCGAUCGUAGUCCGGAUCGCAGUCUGCAACUCGACUGCGUGAAGUCGGAAUCGCUAGUAAUCGCGAAUCAGAAUGUCGCGGUGAAUACGUUCCCGGGCCUUGUACACACCGCCCGUCACACCAUGGGAGUGGGUUGCACCAAGAAGUAGCUAGUCUAACCUUCGGGAGGACGGUUAC